rnacentral:rRNA from 1 species
AUACGGAGGAUCCGAGCGUUAUCCGGAUUUAUUGGGUUUAAAGGGUGCGCAGGCGGCCAUUUAAGUCAGCGGUUAAAUCGUGGGGCUCAACCCCAUUCUGCCGUUGAUACUGGGUGGCUUGAUUGCGGUCGAGGUUGGCGGAAUUCGUUGUGUAGCGGUGAAAUGCAUAGAUAUGACGAAGAACACCGAUUGCGUAGGCAGCUGACCAGACCGCAAAUGACGCUCAUGCACGAAGGUGCGGGGAUCGAACAGGAUUAGAUACCCUGGUAGUCCGCACAGUAAACGAUGAAUACUUGUUUUCGGCGAUAUAAUGUCGGAGGCAAAGCGAAAGCGAUAAGUAUUCCACCUGGGGAGUACGCCGGCAACGGUGAAACUUAAAGGAAUUGACGGGG